UGGAACAACACCACUGCACCUAGCCGCCAAGAAUGGACACAUCGACAUCAUCAGACUGCUGAUCGGAGCUGGGAUCGAUAUUAAUCUGCAGACUAAAGCUGGAACGGCCCUCCAUGAAGCAGCCCUCUGUGGGAAGACUGAAGCUGUGCGGCUGCUACUGGAUAGUGGAAUCAGUGCAGGGGUCCGGAACACUCUCUGUCAG